GGAGAGUAGAAAGCGCAAGAGAUUAGAAGAGGAAGGAUAAAAUGGAUGGUGAAGGUAUUUUAGAGCUCAUUCUAUUUGUUUGAGAGAAUAGUUUUAAGAAGCCGUCAUAUCUUCAAUAAUAACAAGACAUUAUAUUAACAGGGAUCAGAGAAUUAGUUCUAGUAACACUAAAAAAUAAUAUGAACAAAACAGAGAUGUCACAGCCUUCAAAUAGAAAGCAGAAAAUAAGUACCUAUAGCAGCGAAUGACAAUGAUGAUAAUCCUGAGCUCAUUCACGUUUCCAACAAACAAAAUCGAGUGUGUUUCAUUGGCCAGCUAAUGUCGAUGUCCUUGAAUAUUGAAUGCAUCACAAGUUCAUAAUAUUUGGAACUCAAAUGCUAAAUGUCAAGGCCUUGUGUGUGAAAAGUAGUUGGACCAUCAAAUGACUUUGCACCUGGACUGUAUUCCUUUGGAUAUGGUUAGCAACGUUAAUGGCUAUCUACCUUAUCGUUGAGGUCCUCUAAUUUCCAAUGAUCUAUUGUUAAAAAAAAAGG
rnacentral:misc_RNA from 1 species